rnacentral:piRNA from 1 species
GCAAACAUCAUAUGCAGCCAUACUAAAGA